CACUUUUUAGAUCUGUACGGAUCUUCUGGACAAGGUUUUUGAGCGAUUGACUGCUGGUUGAACUCCCUGUGGGCUCGUAUGGUCUGCAUGUGGUUUGGAAAACAAACAGGACCAUGAAAAUAAAAGACGCCUGAAAGAGGUCUAUUUUAGCCUUCCUGAUACUCGCUGCUCUAAUACCUCCCACGGUUUGCCGCCCUCCUAACGUCAUCUCAAGGCCUGCGGUACGAGGCAGCGGAUAUAUACCCGAAUGCCAGGCGCAGGCGCAGACCAAUGAGAUCGAUUGGUUGGCAAACCCUUGCUAUAAGAGCGGUUCCCUGACAGUCGACCCUCAGACGGGGUACUACUCGGUGGAAUGCAUGAUGACUACCAUAUAUGGAUGUUUUGCAUCCGUGGGUGUGACGACUGCCACCGCGAGAUGUCGGCCCCUUCACUGCCUCACUCCAAGUAGAGACGUUAUCGUGCAAGACUGCGCGUGCGCUUACUAGAUGACUGCUGACCCAGAAAGACAACGAAAUCAUACUACAAAAGGAUAUUAUUUAUUUAAUCAUGUAUCUUAAAGAUACGUAAGCUAUACAUGUCUUACAUGUUAUAUUAUGUAUAAGAUUGUCUAAGUUAAAAAACUGCAUGUUAAUAAACCUGUAUAGUUGUUAAUGCUGUCAGUGUAAAUCAAUAACGUUUAAUUGUACUUGGAUCGCUUAUGUACGGCAGGAUGGUUGAUAUAAAAACCCCGGAACAAAGUGUAAAAAAUUAAUAUUUUUGAAGAAAAAGAGCUGAGUAAAGUUUAAUCUGAAA